AACGUAGACAUGGCCGGCGUGGGUAAAACUGUAGUAUCUGUUCUUAUCAGCUGAAUAUCUGAUACGGGUUGCAUUUAAAUACAAGAUAUUAAACUUAUUUUUUGCAAAUUGGCAGAGUGCUUGAAGCCUGCUUCUCCUCUGCCGUGCGUCGGCCCAGUACUGCACUACCUUCGGGAUCGGCCCAAAGGAU